rnacentral:rRNA from 1 species
CCUACGGGAGGCAGCAGUGGGGAAUAUUGGACAAUGGGGGCAACCCUGAUCCAGCCAUGCCGCGUGAGUGAUGAAGGCCUUCGGGUUGUAAAGCUCUUUUGGCGGGGACGAUGAUGACGGUACCCGCAGAAUAAGCCCCGGCUAACUUCGUGCCAGCAGCCGCGGUAAGACGAAGGGGGCUAGCGUUGUUCGGAAUUACUGGGCGUAAAGCGAGUGUAGGUGGUUUUCCAAGUUGGGUGUGAAAGCCUUGGGCUUAACCCAAGAAAUGCAUUCAGGACUGGAAGACUAGAGGACCGGAGAGGAUAGUGGAAUUCCCAGUGUAGUGGUGAAAUACGUAGAGAUUGGGAAGAACACCAGUGGCGAAGGCGGCUAUCUGGACGGUUUCUGACACUAAGACUCGAAAGCGUGGGGAGCAAACAGGAUUAGAUACCCUGGUAGUCCACGCCGUAAACGAUGGGUGCUAGACGUUGGCGAGCUUGCUCGCCAGUGUCGCAGCUACGUACGUAACGUACACCCGCCCGUCGGGAGGUACGGCCGCGAGGUAGUAACGUACGAAGAAGUAGACGGCGNGAGACGUGUCGAAGACGACGACGAGGGAGGUAGG